rnacentral:snoRNA from 1 species
AUGCAGAUAUUGUUAUAAUACAACUAGUGUUUUAUUGUGUUCCCUGCUUAAAGCAAUUGAUGUAUCACUAUCUCUGUCUAGCAAGAUUCCAUAGUGAGACAGUGUGAAGCCACAGCACACGU